rnacentral:rRNA from 1 species
AGAGUUUGAUCCUGACUCAGAACGAACGCUGGCGGCGUGCCUAACACAUGCAAGUCCAACGUGAAAGGGGAGCAAUCCCCCGGUAGGGUGGCAAACGGGUGAGUAAUACAUGGGUGAUCUACCUUAGGGAUGGGGAUAUCCUUCCGAAAGGAGGGGCAAUACCGAAUAUUGUCCGGGACCGUGAAGGGUUUCGGGGAAAGGGAGGCCUCUGACACAAGCUUUCGCCUUAAGAUGAGCCCAUGGCCCAUCAGCUAGUUGGUAGGGUAAAGGCCUACCAAGGCUACGACGGGUCGCUGGUCUGAGAGGACGACCAGCCACACUGGCACUGAGAUACGGGCCAGACUCCUACGGGAGGCAGCAGUGAGGAAUAUUGCGCAAUGGGGGAAACCCUGACGCAGCAACGCCGCGUGUGGGAAGAAGGCCUUCGGGUCGUAAACCACUUUUACUCGGGACGAAAAAGGGAUAUCAAACAAAUAUCCCCGAUGACGGUACCGUGAGAAUAAGCCACGGCUAACUCUGUGCCAGCAGCCGCGGUAAGACAGAGGUGGCAAGCGUUGUUCGGAAUUACUGGGCGUAAAGAGUCUGUAGGUGGUUUGUCAAGUCUUUGGUGAAAGGCCGUAGCUUAACUAUGGGAAUGCCAAAGAGACUGGCAGGCUGGAGGCUGGGAGAGGGAAGCGGAAUUUCUGGUGUAGCGGUGAAAUGCGUAGAUAUCAGAAGGAAGGCCGGUGGCGAAGGCGGCUUCCUGGAACAGUCCUGACA